rnacentral:rRNA from 1 species
AGGUAAUAUCACUAAGAAAAACCUUUGUCCCUUGGCGGCUCUUCUCCUUCUCAGAGGAACUUGUUUUAUAACCGACAAUCCGCGUUAAUUUUCACUCUCUUUUAGUUUUUAUACCGCCGUCUAAAGAUAAAAAUUAAAUGUUCUCACGAUCCAACUUACGUAUUUAAGUCAGGUCAAGGUGAAGCGUAUACGAGAGGCCAAAAUGAGUUACUUAUUUUCCCAAAAAAUGGACACAAAACUAAAGUUUUAAGAAAACAGGAUUUGACAGUAAUAUUGUUUUAACACAACACUAUGAAAAAG